GUCUGAACUCAUAGUGGAAAAGACAGGGUAGGCAGGGGUUGGCUCUGGAUUCAGAAAACAGCUGCUGAUUAGAUGCCCUGUCUCUGGGCUGCGUUUAUUCUGUGUUUUUCAGCAGCAGGAAUUCAAGAGGGAUGCUGCUGUUUGGGUUUCUGAUCGUGAUUUAUAUUUAUUCAGAGGAAUAACAGAGGGUGGAUCUGUUCCCGGCGCGAGCAUGCUCACAACCAGCCGACUCUCCCAUUAUCCAACUGCCUAGUUUGGUGCUUCAGUGUACAUGUAUAUUUCGUGUGCAUAUGUGUGUAUACAAACACGCAUGCAUGCCUGGAUGGACAUAUGUGUGCACAGCUUAUUUUUUAAGGACAAUUCUUUCAAUAAGGUCUUUACCCCUUACUUGAAACAGGUGUUCAGGAAAAAAAUGCACAAAAUCCUGACUGACCGGAAUAAUUCAUGAAGAAGGGGCUGGAUCCGUGGGUCAGAGAACACAGGACCAGUGUGCCAUCCCAAGGCCGAAGUCUGGUGUCUCGGAUUUGACCCCGCGUUGCCCACUCCUGCUGGAUCUUGUCCUGUCGAGGGACAGAACAUGCUGACGCCCUCCUGAAGAAUGGGAAGAGAGGAGAUUUUGAAAGCACAGAUUGCAAUACUCUGCCAGAGGCCAAGGAAACCAAUGCCUGGAGGGAUUGCCUCCACACCAAGAGGAGCAUCAAGGAUACUGGAGCUGGAGGCACACAGGCCCAAGAAGGGCAGAAAUGCCAGCAAUGACCAAGGGCCACCCAUAACAGUUCCCUGGCUGUCUACCCAGGACCCA
rnacentral:lncRNA from 1 species